UCGGGAAUUUUGGGCAAUGGGCGAAAGCCUGAUCCAGCCAUGCCGCGUGUGUGAAGAAGGUCUUCGGAUUGUAAAGCACUUUAAGUUGGGAGGAAGGGCAGUUACCUAAUACGUAUCUGUUUUGACGUUACCGACAGAAUAAGCACCGGCUAACUCUGUGCCAGCAGCCGCGGUAAUACAGAGGGUGCAAGCGUUAAUCGGAAUUACUGGGCGUAAAGCGCGCGUAGGUGGUUUGUUAAGUUGGAUGUGAAAUCCCCGGGCUCAACCUGGGAACUGCAUUCAAAACUGACAAGCUAGAGUAUGGUAGAGGGUGGUGGAAUUUCCUGUGUAGCGGUGAAAUGCGUAGAUAUAGGAAGGAACACCAGUGGCGAAGGCGACCACCUGGACUGAUACUGACACUGAGGUGCGAAAGCGUGGGGAGCAAACAGGAUUAGAUACCCACGUAGUCCCUGAGCGGGCUGGCAAGGCGCAU
rnacentral:rRNA from 1 species